rnacentral:misc_RNA from 1 species
AAGCACUGGGAUGUCUCGAGGCCACAUAAUAUCCCCUGCUCACCAUUAAAGUCAGGCUCGAGCAGCUCAUCCUCUCCAUCCUCAAUGACCUAUUAGUUAGCCGCUCAUGCGUCAGGCCUCCUCCUUAGUAGUCCUCAAGGCCACCUUCGAGCAAUCACUCGUGUCACCCUCCCUCACCACUGUUGUCCUCGUCUACCACCGUCGUCGCCACAACUACGCCCCCGGUCUCGUCUCCUUCGGUUCCAUGAAUCGGCCUAUCCAAUGCCUUAAUCAACCUUCGCCUUGCGGUCACGUAGGCAGUGGCGGGGAAGACAUGUGCAAGAUGCUCGACGUCGUGCUCAAGCCGGCGCGCCGUAACCCUGUGGGGUCUUUUUUUAAUCCUCUCUUUAUAAAGUUAUAUUUUGAGGAAGCAAUUGUAGUUAUUGAUGCUAAGCCUGCUGAAAUUGAC